AAUGAACGCUGGCGGCAGGCCUAACACAUGCAAGUCGAACGAGUGGCGGACGGGUGAGUAAUGACUGGGAAACUGCACGAUGGAGGGGGAUAACUACGGGAAACGGUAGCUAAUACCGCAUACCAUCGGAUGGGCCGAGAUGGGAUUAGCUAGUAGGUGGGGUAACGGCGCACCUAGGCGACGCUCCCUAGCUGGUCAGAGAGGAUGAGCAGGUACACGGGGACCGAGACGCGGCCAAGACGCCUACGGGAGGCAGCAGUGGGGAAUAUUGCGCAAUGGACACAAGCCUGAUCCAGCCGUGCCGCGUGAAUGAGGCGGGCCUUCAGGUUGUAAAGUACUUUCAGCGAGGAGGCGUUACUCGCAGAGAAGGCCCCGGCUAACUCCGUGCCAGCAGCCGCGGUAAUAC
rnacentral:rRNA from 1 species